rnacentral:rRNA from 1 species
UACAGAGGUCCCGAGCGUUGUUCGGAUUUAUUGGGCGUAAAGGGUGCGUAGGUGGCAAAGUAAGUUGGAUGUGAAAUCCUGGGGCUCAACCUCAGAAUUGCAUUCAAUACUGCUUAGCUAGAGAGCUGUAGAGGAGACUGGAAUUUACGGUGUAGCAGUGAAAUGCGUAGAUAUCGUAAGGAAGACCAGUGGCGAAGGCGAAUCUCUGGACAGUUACUGACACUGAGGCACGAAGGCCAGGGGAGCAAACGGG